UACGUAGGGGGCAAGCGUUGUCCGGAUUUAUUGGGCGUAAAGAGCGUGUAGGCGGUUUGGUAGGUCCGUUGUGAAAACUCGAGGCUCAACCUCGAGACGCCGAUGGAAACCAUCAGACUAGAGUCCGGAAGAGGAGAGUGGAAUUCCUGGUGUAGCGGUGAAAUGCGCAGAUAUCAGGAAGAACACCCGUGGCGAAGGCGGCACUCUGGGACGGUACUGACGCUGAGACGCGAAAGCGUGGGGAGCGAACAGG
rnacentral:rRNA from 1 species